AUGAGAUUUCAAAUGCUCAAACCAGAGAAACUAGCGUUCUCCAUUUCCCGCCAAUUCCCAUCACUCAAACCUAAACAACCUGAAGAAUCACGACGCGAUCUCGUCGGAGACUUUCUUCUCCGGCUUAAAAAAUGCGUCUCCGUGAACCAACUCCGAGAGAUCCAAGCCCAGAUGUUAUUAAACUCCGUCGACAAACCCAAUUUCCUGAUUCCCAGAGCCGUCGAGCUCGGCGACUUCACUCACGCCUCUCUCCUCUUCUCCGCGGCGGAGGAACCUAACCACUACUCCUUCAAUUUCAUGAUCCGGGGGCUAACCAACACGUGGCACGAUCACGUGGGGGCGUUGUCGCUGUACCGCCGGAUGAGGUUUUCUGGGUUAAAGCCCGAUAAUUUCACGUACAAUUUCGUUUUCGUCGCGUGCGGGAACCUCCCGGAGAUUAGGGUUGGUAGAUCUGUUCAUUCCUCGCUGUUCAAAGUCGGGUUGGAAAGAGACGAUCACGUGAAUCAUUCGUUGAUCACUAUGUAUGCGAAAUGUCGUCAUGUGGUUGAUGCACGGAAGGUGUUCGAUGAAAUUACUGAGAAAGAUAUGGUGUCGUGGAACUCGAUGAUUGCUGGGUAUUCUCUUGCGGGUAAGGCGGAAGACGCGGUGGGUUUGUUUAGGAGGAUGGAGGAGGAAGGAGUUGAGCCAGAUGAGAGGACGUUGGUGAGUGUGUUGGGUGCUUGUUCACAUUUGGGUGAUUUGAAAACUGGUAGAUUGCUUGAGGGUAUAGCUAUCAGGAAGAAGAUCGGGUUAAGCGCGUUUCUUGGGCCUAAGUUGAUCAGUAUGUAUGGCAAAUGCGGGGAAUUGGACUCGGCGAGAAGGGUUUUCAAUCAGAUGGUUAACAAGGACCGUGUUGCUUGGAAUGCUAUGAUCACUGUGUACUCACAAAACGGGAGGUCAAUGGAAGCUAUUAAGCUGUUUCGUGAGAUGGAAGAUUCAAGAGUUUCCCCUGACGCUGUUACAUUGUCUACGGUACUGUCUGCUUGUGGUUCAGUUGGAGCUCUUGAGUUAGGCAAACGGAUUGAGUCACACGCCAGGGAAACAGGCUUGCUACACAACAUCUAUGUAGCCACAGGACUAGUUGAUAUGUACGGGAAGUGCGGAAGCAUAGAGGACGCUCUUAGAGUAUUUGAAUCCAUGCCGGUGAAAAACGAAGCCACUUGGAACGCUAUGAUAUCUACUUAUGCGCAUCAUGGGCACGCCCAAGAAGCUCUUUUACUGUUUGAUCAAAUGUCAGUUCCUCCGAGUGAUGUUACAUUCGUGGGAGUGCUCUCCGCUUGUGUGCACGCGGGUUUGGUCGAUCAGGGCCGUAGGUAUUUCCAUGAGAUGAGUUCGUCGUUCGGAUUGGUCCCGAAGAUCGAGCACUACACAAACGUUAUCGAUCUUUUGGCUCGUGCGGGGAUGUUAAACGAGGCGUGGGAGUUCAUGGAGAAGUUUCCUGGGAAGCCAGAUGAGAUCAUGUUGGGAGCGGUUCUUGGAGCGUGUCAGAAGAGAAAAGAUGUGGUGGUUGGAGGGAAAGCGAUGAAGAUGUUGAUGGAGAUGGAGGAGGUGAAGAACGCAGGGAACUAUGUUAUAUCUUCGAAGGUGUAUGCUGAUAUGAAGAUGUGGGAUGAAUGUGCGGAGAUGAGGGCGUUGAUGAGAGACAGAGGCGUUGUUAAGACGCCAGGAUGUAGCUGGAUUGAGAUGGAUGGUGAGAUGAUGGAGUUUAAUGCCGGAAGCGAUGUUUUACAGUGUGGCAGGGAGGAUGCUGCGUUGUUGGGUUUGUUGGUAGAGGAGAUGAAGAAGGGAAGGUAUGAUUUUUCCAGUGGGAGUUUGAGUUUUGGUCGCUCAAGAGUCAAGACUCAAGAGAGCACGAAUCAAUAUGCUUCAUUUGCAUUUGAUGCUUAUAACAUGGGGACGAAGAGGUGGUUGCAGAUGUCAUAACUCAAGUACUAACUUAUGACUCUUAAACCGGGAGAAAAACGAACGAAACCAACAACCGUUCAGGUGUACUUGACGAGAAGGACGUCGCACCAGUCCCGCCAUUUUCUCCAUGCUAUACCUUCGUGGAUCCACUAAACGGGGGGAUUCCGAGUUAAUCACUCCUGGCCAGGUUGGUUUCGUUUCUGCUCGGAGUCAUCCCUGUCUUCAUAGCAUGGAUAUACUCAGAGUUUCUAGAGUAUAAGAGAUCUUCCUUGCAUUCUAAAGUUCAUUCAGAUAAUAAUUUGGUUGAACUGGGUGAGGUGAAAAACAAGGAUGAGGAAGGAAGUAGCAGUGUUACUUGAAGGAGGUGGUGGUCUUCCCAGAUCGGUCUCUACCAAGUUCUAUAACUCUUCUAUCAAAACCAACCUCGUUAGGUUUUUGACGCUGGAGGACUCUUUCUUGAUUGAUAAUCGAGCAACCUUGAGAGCCAUGGCUGAGUUCGGGGCUAUUCUUUUUUACUUUUAUAUUUGCGAUCGAACAAGCUUGCUUGGCGAGUCGAAAAAGAUUUACAACAGAGACCUUUUCAUCUUUCUCUACUGUCUACUCAUUAUAGUGUCAGCCAUGACGUCCUUGAAGAAACACAAUGACAAAUCACCAAUUACAGGGAAAUCUAUUCUCUAUCUUAAUCGUCACCAGACUGAAGAGUGGAAGGGGUGGAUGCAGAUCGAAUGUGCCUAAUGGACAGCCUAAGUGGCUACUAUCCAUCAUUCCAGAGUACCCAAUGCUCAACUUCAUGCUCACCACGCCCAUUUAUGUCUUGGUAAAGCAAAAGUGUCUCACAGGCUUUUCGAGCUAACCAGUACGUUAAAAUCUGUUUCAUAUCCACAAAAGAUGACAAGAGGCUGCUCCAUAAUGUCCUCGCUGGAGCUGCCAUUUCAUUCUGUUUAUAUCUUACCGCUCUCAUUCUUCUCCAGAUCCCACACUAACCAUGUACUUACUCCUUCUCCAUUGCAGCCAUUGUUGAUAUUAGAAUGCGCGCUUGGGAAGAGAUACAACUCUUGAUUGACACACUAGAACGAACUUUUCAUUUACAGGAGGGACUAUAAACAUGUGGAAAACAUGAAUCUUCUAUGUCAAACUUGCUAAAUAGUUACAACACACGUCUCACAUCGACGAUAAAGUUUUGUUUUCAAGAAUCAGUUAUUUCUGAAGCUUGCCAACUGAAGCACCUUAGGGCAAAUUAGAACCAAAGAAGUUUCAGAAAUGGUGAAAGUGAAGUAUCAUAGGACACACCUUUUCUUUCUUUUCUGUUGUAAUUUUGCCAUGAGUUUUGUUUAUUAUAUAGUUUCAUUUGCCUUUUUGUUCGGCUGUAUUGCUACAUAUUGUCACAAAACAGAACAUUCAUACAUCAUCUGCAAUUGCGUGAAGUUUUGUAUAAGAACAGAUCAUUCAUUAAGAGUCUUUUGUUAAAACGCCAACAGAGUUGAGAAAAAGAGGUUCAAUGUCUGAGAAAUAAUACAAUGGUACGACAAUGGAAAUUUCACAAAUGUACUUAAAAGAAACAUCACAAACGAACUCUCUUUCUCUUGCUAAGCUUUUUACUCGCUCACUUUCCGGGGACGAAGUUGGUGGCAAAUGCCCAUGCAUUGUUGUUAACUGGAUCAGCCAAAUGGUCAGCGAGAUUCUCCAGAGGUCCCUUUCCUGUAACAAUGGCCUGUACAAA